AAUAUGCGUCAGUCGUGAGUUCCUGUUUGUGGCGAGUAUAUUAAGGCACAUUUCAUAGAAAGCUAUACCCAUUUCGAAUAGGAGGAAACGGUAACUACUCUUUUAAGGGCAAGGAGCAAAUGAAUAAGCACUUUGUCAUAACUGCAGCGGUUUGCUAUCCUGUGGUGGAUUUGGGAAUAUAUUUGCUACAUUUCAUUGGAAAGUAGUAUGCUCGUCCAGCCUUCGUCCAGGUUCUGUCAGUUAGCUAAUAACCAAGACACUACGGUAAGUCAUAAUGUUAGCCCCUCUGGGAUUCAUUUGGUUGCUAUUUCGCAUAGCUUAUAACGGCUGGUUGGCUGUCAGUGGUUGGGCAGAUUCUUUUAGGUAGAGGGCUAAGUGUGUCUACUCAACGAUAAAUUGAGGUUCAGUACACAAUGAGGCGAUAUACUUUCUAUACGGGCUGUGAUACUACUAGCCUAAUGCAGGACGCAACUGACACAAAUCUGAGAAAUUAGCUAACUAUAUCUAGCCGCUACCUGGCUCCACUCGACCUAGAAUUCAGUUCAUAACGACAGCAUUUUCGUUUGGGGUCCGCAAGCUGGCAUCUGGAGACUGUCUUCGGUUUCCACAAGUGUCAUGUUAGUUCUACAUACUGUAGGGGAGUCGACGGGCUUUCUUCUUUUUCUGUGUCAACUAGAACUAGUUUUAUGAGAGCAAGUGCUUGUGUUGUGUGACUUCUCCUGACUCCUGCGAUGUUCUUCCGAGCUCAGCUCACUGCGACUUGCACCUUUCACAAGUCCGAACUCUGAUAAAGGCAGAGGGAGGGAUAGCUCGCGCAUGAAAUAUUACCGGUGGACUUCUCUCCUCUGACCUGUUACCAAGACAGCUGGGUGUGUAGGAAACUGGAACUAAGUCACUGAAGAAGUAAACCGAUGAAAACCGAUUUGGAUUGUCUGAGAGAUCUGUAGGACACAAGUAAGAGGAGAAGAAUGCUGCUCAGCUGGGUCGGCGUCGGCUACACUACUUAUUCAAGAAGCCCUUGGAUAUCAUCGGCAUGUAUGAAGCACAGUCAUUCCGGUAGUCCGUUCCUCGAUGGACGUGAUGACCUGGCACCAAAACCGCUUAAAGUGUAUGGAGCUGUGUCUGCAUCGAGGAAAGAACGCGGCACUGAAAUGACAAGAGGACUACUGCUCUACUGGGUCUGUGACACUACUUAUCCGAGGAGUCCUCAAACAUCAGGAUGUAGGAAGACACAAGUAAAAGGAGAAGAAUGCUGUUCAGCUGGGUCGGCGGCCACACUACUUAUUCAAGAAGCUCUUGGAUAUCAUCGGCAUGUAUGAAGUCCACUGAUGCCAAGCUGCUAAGGACCCCCACCCCCCCC